AUUGAACGCUGGCGGCAUGCCUUACACAUGCAAGUCGAACGGUAACAGGUCUUCGGAUGCUGACGAGUGGCGAACGGGUGAGUAAUGCAUCGGAACGUGCCCAGUAGUGGGGGAUAGCCCGGCGAAAGCCGGAUUAAUACCGCAUACGACCUGAGGGUGAAAGGGGGGGAUCGCAAGACCUCUCGCUAUUGGAGCGGCCGAUGUCGGAUUAGCUAGUUGGUGGGGUAAAGGCCUACCAAGGCAACGAUCUGUAGUUGGUCUGAGAGGACGACUAGCCACACUGGGACUGAGACACGGCCCAGACUCCUACGGGAGGCAGCAGUGGGGAAUUUUGGACAAUGGGCGCAAGUCUGAUCCAGCCAUGCCGCGUGCGGGAAGAAGGCCUUCGGGUUGUAAACCGCUUUUGUCAGGGAAGAAACGCUCUGGGUUAAUACCUCGGGGUAAUGACGGUACCUGAAGAAUAAGCACCGGCUAACUACGUGCCAGCAGCCGCGGUAAUAC
rnacentral:rRNA from 1 species